CUCAAGUCAUGUGAGAGUACCCGCUGAACUUAAGCAUAUCAAUAAGCGGAGGAAAAGAAACUAACAAGGAUUCCCCUAGUAACGGCGAGUGAAGCGGGAAGAGCACAAAUUUAAAAUCUACCUGGUUUUCAGGUCGAGUUGUAAUUUGAAGAAACGUUUUUGACGUUCCGAGUUGGGAUAAAUCCUUUGGGAUAAGGUAUCAUGGAGGGUGAGAAUCCCGUGUAUACCAACCGCAGGGAUGUUAUUUAAUACGUUUUCUAAGAGUCGAGUUGUUUGGGAAUGCAGCUCUAAAUGGGUGGUAAAUUUCACCUAAUGCUAAAUAUAAGCGAGAGACCGAUAGCGAACAAGUACCGUGAGGGAAAGAUGAAAAGAACUUUGAAAAGAGAGUUAAAUAGUACGUGAAAUUGUUGAAAGGGAAACGAUUGAAGUCAGUCAUGCCGGCGGGAAUCAACUUAGGGGAAACUCUAAGUGCACUUCACGUUUGACAGGUCAGCGUCGAUUUUAGAUAUCAUAAAAUGAUUGGGGGAAGGUAGCUCCUUCGGGAGUGUUAUAGCCCUUGAUAGAUGUGAUGUCUGGGAUCGAGGAUUGCAACGGAUACCCUCUGGGCUAGCCGCCUGAUCUCUAACUGGUGUUGGGUUACGGACAGCAUGCUGACCGUGAUUUAAUUACUGGUUAAAAGGUUAGAGUGAGUGUAAAUUCGUUAAGGACGUUGACGUAAUGGCUUUAAACGACCCGUCUUGAAACACGGACCAAGGAGUCUAACAUGUAUGCGAGUGUUAGGGUAUUAAACCCAGACGCGAAAUGAAAGUGAGUGUAGGUGGGAUCCUUUAUUGGAGCACCAUCGACCGAUCUUGAGAUUUAUCGAUAGAAUUGAGUUAGAGC
rnacentral:rRNA from 1 species